UAGAACUCGGGUGUCAAUGGUGGCC
rnacentral:piRNA from 1 species